rnacentral:rRNA from 1 species
AUUGAACGCUGGCGGCAUGCCUUACACAUGCAAGUCGAACGGCAGCACGGACUUCGGUCUGGUGGCGAGUGGCGAACGGGUGAGUAAUGCAUCGGAACGUGCCAUUGAGUGGGGGAUAACGUAGCGAAAGUUGCGCUAAUACCGCAUAUUCUGUGAGCAGGAAAGCAGGGGACCGCAAGGCCUUGCGCUCUUUGAGCGGCCGAUGUCAGAUUAGCUAGUUGGUGAGGUAAAGGCUUACCAAGGCGACGAUCUGUAGCGGGUCUGAGAGGAUGAUCCGCCACACUGGAACUGAGACACGGUCCAGACUCCUACGGGAGGCAGCAGUGGGGAAUUUUGGACAAUGGGGGGCAACCCUGAUCCAGCCAUGCCGCGUGAGUGAAGAAGGCCU